CUAUGUUUCUAUUGAAUUUAAAGUUUGUUACUACAAGGUGGAAUUUUAGUGAAAAUUAUAAUUAUGUAAACUAAAACAAAUCUAUGAUAGAAAGAUUUCUGGGUGAAGAAUUUCUAAAUUGAAGAAUUAUUAUAGAACUUCAUGGUUGAUAACACAUCCUUUGAAUGAGACUUAUAACUAGUGUUGAUAUAUUUCAGGUAGUGAGAGCCUACUGAAUAUACAAAUUAAAUACUAUGAUUGUAAAGUACUGAUACAAUCAUCACUAGGUGGUAUUAAUGGUAUAGGAAUGUAAUUCAUGAAUACAAAUGAUAAAGAUUUUAAGUUGCUAGAAACCAUACGAUUCAUGGAAAUCUAAUUGGACAGGAUAUUAUAGUAAUACAUGUAUUAGUACUUAAGUAAUAUCAGGUAUUGAGAAUGAAAAUACUAUGCUAUAUGUGUCUGUAGGAGUAUGAUAGUGAUACACAGUUAUUAUUAUUUAGAAAGUUACGAUCUUGGAUUUUGUUAUCUACAAAGAUACGACUGUACCAUAGAAGGUAGAUCUUUCUGAUUGCUUUAUUGUUUAUUGG